GGAUAUGUGGCUCAGUUAGAGUACUUGCCUGGAAUGCAGAGAGUCUUGGGUUCAAUCCCCAGCUCCA
rnacentral:tRNA from 1 species